GAUGAACGCUGGCGUUGUGCCUAAUACAUGCAAGUCGAGCGAACGGACGAGAAGCUUGCUUCUCUGAUGUUAGCGGCGGACGGGUGAGUAACACGUGGAUAACCUACCUAUAAGACUGGGAUAACUUCGGGAAACCGGAGCUAAUACCGGAUAAUAUUUUGAACCGCAUGGUUCAAAAGUGAAAGACGGUCUUGCUGUCACUUAUAGAUGGAUCCGCGCUGCAUUAGCUAGUUGGUAAGGUAACGGCUUACCAAGGCAACGAUGCAUAGCCGACCUGAGAGGGUGAUCGGCCACACUGGAACUGAGACACGGUCCAGACUCCUACGGGAGGCAGCAGUAGGGAAUCUUCCGCAAUGGGCGAAAGCCUGACGGAGCAACGCCGCGUGAGUGAUGAAGGUCUUCGGAUCGUAAAACUCUGUUAUUAGGGAAGAACAUAUGUGUAAGUAACUGUGCACAUCUUGACGGUACCUAAUCAGAAAGCCACGGCUAACUACGUGCCAGCAGCCGCGGUAAUACGUAGGUGGCAAGCGUUAUCCGGAAUUAUUGGGCGUAAAGCGCGCGUAGGCGGUUUUUUAAGUCUGAUGUGAAAGCCCACGGCUCAACCGUGGAGGGUCAUUGGAAACUGGAAAACUUGAGUGCAGAAGAGGAAAGUGGAAUUCCAUGUGUAGCGGUGAAAUGCGCAGAGAUAUGGAGGAACACCAGUGGCGAAGGCGACUUUCUGGUCUGUAACUGACGCUGAUGUGCGAAAGCGUGGGGAUCAAACAGGAUUAGAUACCCUGGUAGUCCACGCCGUAAACGAUGAGUGCUAAGUGUUAGGGGGUUUCCGCCCCUUAGUGCUGCAGCUAACGCAUUAAGCACUCCGCCUGGGGAGUACGACCGCAAGGUUGAAACUCAAAGGAAUUGACGGGGACCCGCACAAGCGGUGGAGCAUGUGGUUUAAUUCGAAGCAACGCGAAGAACCUUACCAAAUCUUGACAUCCUUUGACAACUCUAGAGAUAGAGCCUUCCCCUUCGGGGGGGCAAAGUGACAGGUGGUGCAUGGUUGUCGUCAGCUCGUGUCGUGAGAUGUUGGGUUAAGUCCCGCAACGAGCGCAACCCUUAAGCUUAGUUGCCAUCAUUAAGUUGGGCACUCUAAGUUGACUGCCGGUGACAAACCGGAGGAAGGUGGGGAUGACGUCAAAUCAUCAUGCCCCUUAUGAUUUGGGCUACACACGUGCUACAAUGGACAAUACAAAGGGCAGCGAAACCGCGAGGUCAAGCAAAUCCCAUAAAGUUGUUCUCAGUUCGGAUUGUAGUCUGCAACUCGACUACAUGAAGCUGGAAUCGCUAGUAAUCGUAGAUCAGCAUGCUACGGUGAAUACGUUCCCGGGUCU
rnacentral:rRNA from 1 species